GUUCAAGGGCCUCUAAAGACUUAUGUAAUUGUUAAUAGGCCUACUUUUAUGAUUUCUUAUGUAUUAAGAGCAAAUCAUGAAACAAACUCAUUUCUGUUUGAAGAAGUCUUUACUGUCCUCAUUUUUGUGGCAAGCAACAUUCUUUGCUUAGUGAGCAUUAGUACCCUCCUGCCCAGUGCCGUUGCCUGGCGUGUCGUCGCACGCACCUCUGUCCAUUGGUCUCCGUUCACCUUUCCACCUAGAAUUGUAGGAGGGGCGCUGGGAUCUUAGGGCUAGAAAGAAACUCUGAAGACCACUUUCAGGGGCGGCUUUUAGUCAGGGAUCUCCAGAGAGACAGCCAGCCGGGUGUGCGUGUGUCUCCAGGGCGAGGCUUGCUGCAGGGGCUACAGAGUCCAGGAAGCCACAGGACCCACAGCCUGCAAGCUAGAGUCCUGGGAUGGUGUGGCUUGAAGACUUGAGAAGCGGAGGGUGCAGAUCCCACCCGGGUCUGAGGAGCUGAAACCCAGGAGCACGGGCUGCAGAAGACGGAUGUCACUGGCCCAUCAGCCAGACAGAAAUAAUGCAGAACCAGCCAUCUGGGCACCCCGGGCACGCUCAAGUCGAUGCAUAAAACCAAUGCCGCGCGUGGCCCUGACGUCUGCGUGUUCGCAUCACUCCACGCACGUUGCUCGGUCAUCGCCUCGGUGAGUUUGUAAGUUCGUUGUGUGGUUCUGGGGGCCUUUGUCCCGGGUGGUGGUGGUGGUGGUGGUGGUGGUGACGACAGGCUCCCCACCGCCCAGCUCAGGUACGGAAGGGUGAUGCCACCAACCGCUCCUUAUUUCUCAGACACUUGAGCGGGUGCUCUGUGCAGCCAGUUCCACCUGCAGCAGCAUCUGUUCCCUAUGCCGAUUCCAUUUGGAGUGUGUGCCUCCCUUCUGUUGAGGGUGCAGCCUUCUUUCAGGGAAGAACUGUGUCCUGUUCGCCUAUGUCUCCUGUGGUGUAUCUCAUGGCUGAAUAAGUAGCUAUAGGAUACCUCGGUGGCUGAACGAUAGGUUCAUUGAAAGGAAAACUUUA